UGAUUCCAUCACUCCCCAAAGCUUGUCAGCAUCCAAGCCUUUAGCAUGUGGACUCACUGUUCCUAGAGUACAGCAUGUUAUGAAGAAGCCUCAGAUCCCCCCAACCCCUGGAAGGUACUACCAGUUCUCUCCAUUUC